AGCCUGAAGAAUUCUGCCCUGGAUAAGCUUGUCCGAUCUCAGCAGCUAAGCAGGCUGAGGCUUAGUUACAUGCGGAUGGGAGACCACCUGGAAAUAUCAUGUGCUAUAGGCUA
rnacentral:rRNA from 1 species